GGGCCUGUGGCCUAAUGGAUAAGGCGUCGGUCUCCUAAACCGAAGUACAUUCAAGGUUCGAGUCCUUGCUGGGUCG
rnacentral:tRNA from 1 species